GUGGCUGACAUUUUGCUCCAUUUACUUUUAAUGUAGAGAAGAAUUGUUGGUCUACAUCAGAUUACAUCUAUUGGAUCCAUGGAUAUAACAGAUAUGUGGGAGCCUCUGGAGGAAGGACUCCUUCCUUUGGAGACCACCAAGCACGUGUCAAUGAUCACUAUAACCCUUUCGAAAAAAGAAUUGAAUACAUCCUCUGUCGGGUACCAGCCUCCAUUACCAGCUGAUCAGGUGAAGGCAUCCACAGAAAUCGAUCACGAAUGAGGUAGGGAUACAU